rnacentral:rRNA from 1 species
AUAAGCGCCGGUAAGGUGAUAUGAACCGUUAUAACCGGCGAUACCCGAAUGGGGAAACCCAGUGUGACUCGUCACACUAUCAUUAACUGAAUCCAUAGGUUAAUGAGGCGAACCGGGGGAACUGAAACAUCUAAGUACCCCGAGGAAAAGAAAUCAACCGAGAUUCCCCCAGUAGCGGCGAGCGAACGGGGAGGAGCCCAGAGCCUGAAUCAGCAUGUGUGUUAGUGGAAGCGUCUGGAAAGGCGCGCGAUACAGGGUGACAGCCCCGUACACAAAAGCGCAUGUGCUGUGAGCUCGAUGAGUAGGGCGGGACACGUGGUAUCCUGUCUGAAUAUGGGGGGACCAUCCUCCAAGGCUAAAUACUCCUGACUGACCGAUAGUGAACCAGUACCGUGAGGGAAAGGCGAAAAGAACCCCGGCGAGGGGAGUGAAAAAGAACCUGAAACCGUGUACGUACAAGCAGUGGGAGCCCCACCACCAAAGCAUUUGCUGUACCGCGUUGACGGAGCGAAGCGACGUCAAACCGAUAAAACAGCAGUGUAAAGUGAGCCGCAGGGCGCUUUGCGCGACAGCGCAAAGGCAGGCGGUUUCGCGUAGCGAAAGCGAAUGCUUUGGGGUGGGGUGACUGCGUACCUUUUGUAUAAUGGGUCAGCGACUUAUAUUCUGUAGCAAGGUUAACCGAAUAGGGGAGCCGGAGGGAAACCGAGUCUUAAUUGGGCGUUAAGUUGCAGGGUAUAGACCCGAAACCCGGUGAUCUAGCCAUGGGCAGGUUGAAGGUUGGGUAACACUAACUGGAGGACCGAACCGACUAAUGUUGAAAAAUUAGCGGAUGACCUGUGGCUGGGGGUGAAAGGCCAAUCAAACCGGGAGAUAGCUGGUUCUCCCCGAAAGCUAUUUAGGUAGCGCCUCGUGAAUUCAUCUCCGGGGGUAGAGCACUGUUUCGGCUAGGGGGCCAUCCCGGCUUACCAACCCGAUGCAAACUGCGAAUACCGGAGAAUGUUAUCACGGGAGACACACGGCGGGUGCUAACGUCCGUCGUGAAGAGGGAAACAACCCAGACCGCCAGCUAAGGUCCCAAAGUCAUGGUUAAGUGGGAAACGAUGUGGGAAGGCCCAGACAGCCAGGAUGUUGGCUUAGAAGCAGCCAUCAUUUAAAGAAAGCGUAAUAGCUCACUGGUCGAGUCGGCCUGCGCGGAAGAUGUAACGGGGCUAAACCAUG